rnacentral:rRNA from 1 species
GACGGACGCUGGCGGCGUGCCUAAUACAUGCAAGUCGAGCGAGACUCUUCGGAGUCUAGCGGCGGACGGGUGAGUAACACGUGGGCAACCUGCCUGUAAGACUGGGAUAACACCGGGAAACCGGUGCUAAUACCGGAUAAUCCUUUUCCUCUCAUGAGGAGAAGCUGAAAGUCGGUUUCGGCUGACACUUACAGAUGGGCCCGCGGCGCAUUAGCUAGUUGGUGAGGUAACGGCUCACCAAGGCGACGAUGCGUAGCCGACCUGAGAGGGUGAUCGGCCACACUGGGACUGAGACACGGCCCAGACUCCUACGGGAGGCAGCAGUAGGGAAUCUUCCACAAUGGACGAAAGUCUGAUGGAGCAACGCCGCGUGAGCGAUGAAGGCCUUCGGGUCGUAAAGCUCUGUUGUUAGGGAAGAACAAGUACCGGAGUAACUGCCGGUACCUUGACGGUACCUAACCAGAAAGCCACGGCUAACUACGUGCCAGCAGCCGCCGUAA